rnacentral:rRNA from 1 species
UACGAAGGGGGCUAGCGUUGUUCGGAUUUACUGGGCGUAAAGCGCACGUAGGCGGAUCGUUAAGUCGGGGGUGAAAUCCUGGAGCUCAACUCCAGAACUGCCUUCGAUACUGGCGAUCUUGAGUCCGGAAGAGGUGAGUGGAACUCCUAGUGUAGAGGUGGAAUUCGUAGAUAUUCGCAAGAACACCAGUGGCGAAGGCGGCUCACUGGCCCGGUACUCGACGCUGAGGUGCGAAAGCCGUGGGGAGCAAACAGG